rnacentral:lncRNA from 1 species
GAGAUAUUAUGUAUAAAAAGAUAAAAGCCAUAAUUUAUUCAAUUUGUACAUGAAACAAAUGUGGAAUUAGAUAUUUUGCAUGUCAUUAUUGUAUAUUACCAAUUUUUUUUUUUUUUUUGUGUUUGAUCUUUCUAUUAUGUAUACAAAUGAAAUCAAGGUUUUUAAAAAUGACUAUUGAAAUAGAAAUUUAUCACCAACUGAAUUAAGUUCUUCUUCUGUGUCUUGCUUUCGGGUAUUGGAUAUGUUAGGAAAAAUUAGUGGCAAUUGUGACCAUUAGAGAUGGGGAAUGUAACUACUUUUGAUAGGUAUUUGCAGUGAAACUUAGAUGCGUAUUUCUAAUCAUUGUAGUUGUGGCAUAGUAAAGCUAGAUUUUUAUGCCCCACCUACGAUAGUAGAGGGGCAUUAUGUUUUCUGGUCUGUGCCUCCGUUCGUCCGUCCGCUUCAGGUUAAAGUUUUUGGUCAAGGUAGUUUUUGAAGAAGUUGAAGUCCAAUCAACUUGAAACUUAGUACACUUGUUCCCCAUGAUAUGAUCUUUCUAAUUUUAAUGCCAAAUUAUAGUUUUGACCCCAAUUUCAUGGUCCACUGAACAUAGAAAAUGAUAGUGCGAAGUUCAGGUUAAAGUUUUUGGUCAAGGUAGUUUUUGAUGAAGUUAAAGUUACAUCAACUUGAAACUUAGUACACAUGUUCCCUAUGAUAUGAUCUUUCAAAUUUUAAUUCCAAAUUAAAGUUUUGACCCCAAUUUCACGGUUCACGGAACAUAGAAAAUGAUAGUGGAGUGGGGCAUUCGUGUACUAUGGACACAUUCUUGUUUUCAACAUGUUAAAAUUUCCUUUGUCUUCUUACAAACAGUAAAUAUUUCCAGAUCACAAAUUUGACUUACAAAUGAUUAAGGCUAUUCCAGAAAAAAGUGUCUACUGAAGGCAGAACACAUAUAAAAAUAAGUGGUACCAACAACAUAUUAAAAUCAAGGUGCAAUAUUUGUUUUACAUAGAAAAUUUUGAACUUUUACCUCCACCAACUUAAUAAUAAAUCUUGGUGUUGUGCUUCCAAGUGACAUUUUUUCAAAGCCCUGAAAAUACUGAUAUAUAAAAAAAAGCACAGUUGAUAAAUUGAAAAAUGAGUAUGAUAAGGUAACUUGUUUUGCCCUUUAAGCUUGAAAACUUAAAUGCUAUAUAAAUCUGUCCAAAAACAUCCUUUACAUGUUUACAAGAAAAGCUGUCAAAUUUUAGUUUGGUUUUUCUUAAUUUUUGUCAUGCAUAUUUGAUAAGCCUUCAAAUUUUUCUUGCAUUCAAAACUUCCAAAAAAGCAUCCUGUUGAGAUCUUUCAAAGUUUAAACAUGAGUAUGAGCAACAACCUUACUACCAUAGAAGAGGUUUUCUGCAAACUGACUUUUACAAAAAUGCUUUUAAUAGUGAAUAAACAAAUUGUUUAGUAAGAUAUGGCUUAUAUUUAAAUUUUACCCAAAACUCUGUUAUUAGUAAAAAAAAUAGAUCUUAAGGAUCGAAGAUUUUUUUUAACUUUUGCAAUUUCAGGGGCAAUAUAAUGACUGGUCAUACCUCUUACUAUUUAUGAAUAUAUUUAUGCUAUUUUGUUAAGUAAACUUUGUAUCAUGUUGGUUUACUUGUUGAUUGUCAUCUCAAUAGUUGAGCAAGAAAUAUGUGCCAUAUUAAGUACUAAAAUGAGUUUGAAAUUUUUCUAGGAGCAUUGAGCUCUGGGUUACUAAAUAAUUGAAAAAUAAGAGCAGUGAAGCUGUGGCUUCUAUUAAUCUUGGAUAUAAUACAAAUGAUUAUUUAACUUCUUUUUCGCAGUCAUUUAUUUAUGAAUUAUUGUUAUAAUUUUUAUAAAGAAUUAUGCCAAGCAUAAUAUUGUCUUUCAUUAAUGAUGAGAUUAUUUGUGAAGUAUAUAUGUAUGUAUCACUUACUAACCAGGUCCAGUUUUGUUUUGAAAAUCUCACUGUUAAGAUAUAUAGUUGACCCUGUUAACCAGUCGGCAAUAGAGACGCUAUUCUUCCAGUUGUGGCAAUGACAUUUUUGUAAUUUGAAACAAUGAUCUGUAAUAAAGGUGAACCUGUUAAAACAAUAUAAAAAACUAAGAUGAGUUUGAAAGACAUUUUUGUGGUCUUAUAUAUUAGGACAAUGGAAUAUUCAUCUGGUCUGAAAAUUUGUUGAUUUUGUCCUAUUUCCUUUUCUUACUGAUUAUGAAUUUGAAUGGUUUGAGAUGCUUAUACCCUGUGGGUACACCUUGUAUAGCUUUCUUUUGGAGUUUUUGCAAUUUAUUCAACUUUGGUUGUUUGGUUGAUAUUUAUUCCAAAAAAAUGUAUAUUGCAAAAAAAUAAGUUUAGAAUAUAUUUAAACUAUUGUCUCCCCUUAUUUAGAUUUCUAAAAAUUUGAAUCAAAACCUUUUUGACAAUGAAAUAGGCAAAAGUUGCUCAUGCAAUAUUUACCUCACUAUAAUUUGGCUAUUUAUUUUUGGUCCCUUUUGGUGCUCUUCACAUAUUCAAGUAUAUACUUCCUUAUAUUUGAGUUUUGGUGGUUUGAGAAUUCCUGAUAAAGGUAAACCAAGAACAAAGCUUCAAACCUACCAAAAAAAAUUAAUGUUAUUUUCAUGUUUGAUUUAAUAUUAAUUUCCGAUAUUUUUAAGCUACAGAUGGGUUGAUUAAGAGUUCUAAACAUCUAUAAAUCAAGAUAGUUGACAGUUCUGUAAAGUAUUAACAUAACCCCUCAUACUGCCAAUGUUCAUUGGCUGCAAAAAGCUUGUAAUCCACAUACAGGGAAUAUAUCAGGGAGAGUAAAAAUUUUCUCAUGAUAAAUUGCAAAAUUGAUUCAAUUGUGUUACUGUAUUAUUUGUUUUCAAACUUUCAUCAGAAUAUUCUUUUAAUUCAUAAAUCAUUUUUGAUGUGUUCAUUUCAAACUCUCUUCUUAUUCAAGUUUGGCUGCUAGUAUCUUUUUUUCAAACUCUUGUGUUAGCCAGGGUUAAACUUAAUAACUAACUCACCAAACAAAUCAAAAUCAAGCAUUCACAAAUGAUAAAAUAGAAGUUGAGGGUUUCUAGAGGAAAAACUCAAAGGUAGAGUUUGCCUUGUUAGUUGCAUGUGAACUCAUCCUCCUAAAAUCCUUAUACUGUGGAUUCAUUUAUUUUCAUGGGUAUCAAUUUUUGUGGAUUGAGGGAAACUUGCAUUUACAUGGAUAAUUGAUUUUGUGGUUUUGGCAAUACCCACAUACAGAGUCUAUAGAAAAUUUGUAAUUCAUUGAACAUUUGAAUUUGUGGUUCACCUGUACCCAUGAAACCCAUAAUCAAUCAAUCACAAAAAUUGGUAUCCAACGAAUAAUAAUGAAUCCUUAGUAAAUCAUAAAACAUGUUCCUGGUUCGACCAGUAAACAGACUUUUAAGUUUUGAACAAAUAGUGCUGCCUUGUUUAUGUCAUUCAGUAUGGGACCAUGUGUAGUUUAUGUAAAUAGUUAGAUGGGCAUUAUAUUUCAUCAACAUGUGAUAUUUACAAUGCAAUAUUGAAGUCUUUCCAAAGACAUCUCAAAAUUAUUCUCAACAUGUGUACGUGUAAAAAGGUAUCAUUACAGAAGCAAAACCAUAAGUUAUUAAUAUAUAUUGCAAUGUUUGUAAAUACAACUUUUAUGUUUUCUGAUCAAUCCUUUGUACAAUUGAUGUCUUUAUGAGUGAACAAAAUCCUGUUGGUUUCUCAUUUUGUUAGACAUUUUUUUUGCUUAAUUUUAAGGUUAUAAAGUCGUCAUAAAAUAAGUCCUUUCAUAAUACAAGUUCCAAAUGAAAAAAAAUAUUCUGUAAUAUCACAGUAUUUACUCCAACAGAAACAGAUAUUAUGGCAUUGUCUGUAACAAAGUUUCCAGUGGAAGCUUGAACCAAUAUAUGUUUACUAAGUCAGAGUCUGAGAUUUCUGCUCCAUGAUUUAAAAUUUUUAAUUAAUUAAUGAUCAUACAAGUCAUUUUGAUAUCAAUGUAAAGAUUAUUUUUUUGUGAUGCAGUAAUUUAAACAUUUUUUUUUUACCUUAACAGAAUACAUUUAACAUAAAAUGUUCAAAUUAACAUAAAUAAAAAGCAGGCUAAAAGUAACUAAGUAAACUGUCUGAAAUUCUGACAGGCUAAAAAAAUAACAGAAGAGUCUCAUAUUUGUCUGAAAUUAACUUUUUGGAUAUUAAAUGAUAAAAUCUGUGUAUACAAUUUACAAGCCAUUUGACUGUAGGAACAACUCCUCACUAAUCAGAUGUUAAAAUUAUUUUUAUUUCCUAUGAAAUUUUCACAAGUUGUUAUAGCUAGAUGCACAGAAAAUUUUAAUUUAUGAAAGAAAUCUAUCUUUAGAUUUUAAAAUUUGGUUUACAUUCAAGAUCUAGAGUUGUCAGACUUGAACCAUUUGAUUUAAGGCAAUAUUUCACAUAGUGAUUUAACUCUUACUCAAGUAUCUUGAAUCAUUUUAUUUGAAGCAUUUAAAUUUUAUCAAUACAGAAUUUGCCAUUAUCUGCAGUUCAUGCUUUAUAUAUAUGAGGACAUUUUUUACUUUGCAUAUUUUUGAUAAAUUUUUAUAUGUUUCCUGAGGCUUGAGAAGAAUCUUAAAAUUUCACCAUCUUCAUUGAAAAUCAUUUGACAGCAGAAUGGCUUUGUAAUUAUAUAAAUAUAAUUAUCAGGUAGAGUCUUUCAUAAAAAAAUAGAUCUUAGCUUCAAUCCUUUACUAAAAUGUUCUUGGAAAGGGAUUAAAACCUCACAACUUUUGAUUUCAAGGUCUUAGAAAUGGCAUAUUGUAAAAAGCUUGUAGGCACAAUAAUUAAUAGAAUAUGGGAUUUACUGCUUAUCUUUAUCAAGAUUUAAUAAUUUACAUUCAGACUCCCAAAUUUGUACAGUCCAUUAUAUAUCAUGAUAUGAAUCAUUCUUUUUGAAAAAAAAUGUAGUUUGCAUAGCUUGGCAAAAAUACCUAGCAAUACUGCAUGCACAAACUGUAGUUAAUCAUCUAGCAUUCACAAUAGUAUUUUUACAGAUAAUGAUAUAAAAUGAUAAAAUUCUCUGAAAUAUGUUUUCAUAUGUUUGAAAUAACAAAAUGAAUGUUUAUGUUCACUCAAUUAGAUAUAUAAAGAUCAUAAAUGCUUUCUUCUUACAUUCUUAGGAAGGUUUCAACUAUGUCAUUUUGUCAAUAGUAUUUAAUUUUGAAUGUGUCAUUUGUACAUAUGAUUUUUUUGUAAAUCUGUAAUAUUUGAAAAAAUGCAAUGCAAUAUUUAUAUUUUGCAUUAUUAAAUUUGUAUAGAACCA